AUCGAACGCUGGCGGCAGGCCUAACACAUGCAAGUCGAACGAGCGGCGGACGGGUGAGUAAUGUCGGGGAAACUGCCUGAUGGAGGGGGAUACCUACUGGAAACGGUAGCUAAUACCGCAUACCAUCAGAUGUGCCCAGAUGGGAUUAGCUGGUGGGGGGGGUAAAGGCUCACAAAGGCGACGAUCCCUAGCUGGUCUGUGAGGGUGACCAGCCAAACUGGAACGGGUACACGGUCCAGACUCCUACGGGAGGCAGCAGUGGGGAACAUUGCACAAUGGGCGAAAGCCUGAUGCAGCCAUGCCGCGUGUGUGAAGAAGGCCUUCGGGUUGUAAAGCACUUUCAGCGAGGAGGCGUUACCCGCAGAAGAAGCACCGGCUAACUCCGUGCCAGCAGCCGCGGUAAUAC
rnacentral:rRNA from 1 species